UGGGAUUAUGGUGCUGCUGUCCCUUAGACAAGGUCACAGGAGGUGGGACAUGCUGGUAGGCCACAUGGAGAGUCAGGGAGGCCUGUCAAGUUUCUGGUGUCUCCAGUCCCUAACGGUUGAGUUGCAGAUACAGAGCCAACAUUCAGCUUUGAAGACAGAUCCCGGCUUUGAAGACAGACCCUAGGGUAAUCAUGAGGACAGGGGAUGAGAAGGCUGUGACCAAACAUGUGAGCAUGCAGGAGUUCAGAACAAGGGCAGGGCACAGGCAGGGGAAGGAAGAGCUUCAAGGAGACAGGAAGGGUCUUUGUGUGCUAAACCUGAUGCAGAGGGAAGGGGG
rnacentral:lncRNA from 1 species